rnacentral:misc_RNA from 1 species
GUAUAGGUUUAUAGGCACAAAGGCCAUUGAUUACAUUCUAUAACAUACAUUGGGGUAUAUGAAGAACAUAGGCCUGGAAAUGUAAGGACAGACAUUAAGUCAAUCCUCAAACCUGAGUGACUAGCAUUCAGAGAGAGAUCCAAGUCUACAAAAGGUGCACUGGUGGAGAUAUAAAGAUGACAAGUGUGCACAUGCUCCCUAGAGAACCAGCAGCAACUCAUCAGAUUUAUUUCAAUAAUGAUCCUUCCGCAGGUUCACCUACGGAAA